rnacentral:misc_RNA from 1 species
UCUCCCGUUAGGGAGCAGUCUCGCCAGACACUUGUAACUGGCAAUGAGGGUUGCGUUCGUUACCCCACUUAAGGGAACAAUUCAAACCACGAACUGACGACGGCCAUGCAUCACCUGUUCUAUUGCCCGAAGGCCCCGUAUGUUUCCAUAUGAGUUCAAUAGAAUUUCUAACCCUGGUGAGGUUCUUCGUUUGCCAUCGAAUUGAGCCACAUAAUCCACUGCUUGUGCAAGCCCCCGUCUAUUCCUUUGAGUUUUAAUCUUGCGAUCGUACUACCCAGGCGCUUCUCUUAACGCGUUAGCUUCGCCUCCCAGAGGGUCGAUACUCCGAAAAGCCAGAGAAGAACGUUUAGGGCGUGGACUA